UACGUAGGGCGCAAGCGUUGUCCGGAAUUAUUGGGCGUAAAGCGCGUGUAGGCUGCUUCGCAAGUCGGGUGUGAAAGCCCUGGGCUCAACCUAGGAAGUGCACUCGAAACUGCGAAGCUGGAGUCCUGGAGAGGAAGGCGGAAUUCUCGGUGUAGAGGUGAAAUUCGUAGAUAUCGAGAGGAACACCGGUGGCGAAGGCGGCCUUCUGGACAGUGACUGACGCUGAGACGCGAAAGCGUGGGGAGCAAACAGG
rnacentral:rRNA from 1 species